UUUUUUUUUUUUUUUUUUCAUGAAAUAGUAAUAAAAAGGAAUUAAUUAGUAUAUCGUAGAUGUGAUUUUGUGUUUGUCUGUGCAUGUCAAAAUAUUCCCCUCUCCUACCUUGCAGUAUUUUUUUUAUUAUUGAUUGUGAGGCUCACGGAACUAUUUGCAUUGCAAAUACGUUACUUCAUUUAGUAUUCGCUCUAGUUUUGUCAGGAUCUUUCCACGUGUUGCUCAGAAAUCUACUCUAUGGAUUGGUUUGAAGCAACUUGCGCCGUGGAAUACAGUUUUUGGUUUUGGUUGCCUGAAACGACCCCGAACGUCAGGCAAUUGAAGCAAACAUGUUAGGUGGUCUUGAAUGACGGUUUGUGGUGAGUAACAGCCUCCACACGUGGUUUACGACCAGUAACCCCAGUCAACUAAGUGAAGCUGUGAACUGGUAGGACUUUGGUCAUUUUUGAGCACGGGUUUGAAAGAUGUUCCAAGAAGAUUGAAGAAGUUUAUUGACUGAAAUAAAGUUUUAUCAAACA